rnacentral:rRNA from 1 species
UACGUAGGGUGCAAGCGUUGUCCGGAAUUAUUGGGCGUAAAGAGCUCGUAGGCGGUUUGUCGCGUCUGCUGUGAAAACUCGGGGCUCAACUCCGAGCUUGCAGUGGGUACGGGCAGACUAGAGUGCGGUAGGGGAGACUGGAAUUCCUGGUGUAGCGGUGGAAUGCGCAGAUAUCAGGAGGAACACCGAUGGCGAAGGCAGGUCUCUGGGCAUUAACUGACGCUGAGGAGCGAAAGCAUGGGGAGCGAACAGG